AUUUAUAGACUCAAGAGCCAAGA
rnacentral:piRNA from 1 species